rfam:Psychroflexus salarius strain DSM 25661 genome assembly, contig: Ga0131153_102
AGAGAAGUGACCGAGCGGUCGAAGGUGCACGCCUGGAAAGCGUGUGUUCUGAUUGUAUCAGAACCGAGGGUUCGAAUCCCUUCUUCUCUG